rnacentral:lncRNA from 10 species
CUGGGAUCUAAUGGAACCCAGGGAAAUGAGAGACUGAAAGGUUUAUUGUAAAGAAUAUUACAGAAGAUGUAGAUGAAGAGAUGCAUACAAAAAGGGUAUUGGAUUGGAAGAUGCAUUAUACGGUCAUCCUAAACAAGUAUUCCUGGUGAUUCUGGCACAGUUGACUCACGAACAUAAACUGCUCGAAUGUUUGUCCUAAUUGAGUAAGGAGAACAAAAAACCAUCACUUUUCCUCCUUGAGUGAGGCCAUGUGUGGCUAUCUUAUGAAAUAGAAAAAUGGUAUAAAAUAAAAU